AAUUCCAAAUGGUUGUCCCUCACCCACAGAGGCACGAGGCGGUCACAACCCAUUCAAAUCAAUGGACAGACGUUACACGAUUUGUUUCAGCAAAAAGAAAUAAAGAAAGAAAACAAAAACAAAAAAGAAAGAAAGACCGCUAAGUCGAAAACUCGAAAAUGAGUGACUUAGGCAAAAAUUAGAGCAUCCCUGUGGAUUGUAAAUCUGAACCAAUCCAGCAAAAGUAGGAAAAUCGAAAAAUCUGCAAACGAGGA
rnacentral:lncRNA from 1 species